CAAUCUAUGUCGGCGACCGGCGCACGGGUGCGUAACGCGUAUGCAACCUACCCACUACAGGGGGAUAACACUGAGAAAUCGGUACUAAUACCCCAUAACAUCCAGGGGAGGCAUCUUCUUGGGUUGAAAACUCCGGUGGUAAUGGAUGGGCAUGCGUUGUAUUAGUUAGUUGGUGGGGGUAACGGCUCACCAAGACAACGAUACAUAGGGGGACUGAGAGGUUAACCCCCCACAUUGGUACUGAGACACGGACCAAACUCCUACGGAAGGCAGCAG
rnacentral:rRNA from 1 species